rnacentral:rRNA from 1 species
UACAGAGGGUGCAAGCGUUAAUCGGAAUUACUGGGCGUAAAGCGUGCGCAGGCGGUUGUGCAAGACCGAUGUGAAAUCCCCGGGCUUAACCUGGGAACUGCAUUGGUGACUGCACGGCUAGAGUGUGUCAGAGGGGGGUAGAAUUCCACGUGUAGCAGUGAAAUGCGUAGAGAUGUGGAGGAAUACCGAUGGCGAAGGCAGCCCCCUGGGAUAACACUGACGCUCAUGCACGAAAGCGUGGGGAGCAAACAGG